AGAGUUUGAUCGUGGCUCAGAUUGAACGCUAGCGGGAUGCUUUACACAUGCAAGUCGAACGGCAGCGCGAGAGAGCUUGCUCUCUUGGCGGCGAGUGGCGGACGGGUGAGUAAUAUAUCGGAACGUGCCCAGUAGCGGGGGAUAACUACUCGAAAGAGUGGCUAAUACCGCAUACGCCCUACGGGGGAAAGGGGGGGAUCGCAAGACCUCUCACUAUUGGAGCGGCCGAUAUCGGAUUAGCUAGUUGGUGGGGUAAAGGCUCACCAAGGCAACGAUCCGUAGCUGGUUUGAGAGGACGACCAGCCACACUGGGACUGAGACACGGCCCAGACUCCUACGGGAGGCAGCAGUGGGGAAUUUUGGACAAUGGGGGAAACCCUGAUCCAGCCAUCCCGCGUGUAUGAUGAAGGCCUUCGGGUUGUAAAGUACUUUUGGCAGAGAAGAAAAGGUACCUCCUAAUACGAGGUACUGCUGACGGUAUCUGCAGAAUAAGCACCGGCUAACUACGUGCCAGCAGCCGCGGUAAUACGUAGGGUGCAAGCGUUAAUCGGAAUUACUGGGCGUAAAGCGUGUGUAGGCGGUUCGGAAAGAAAGAUGUGAAAUCCCAGGGCUCAACCUUGGAACUGCAUUUUUAACUGCCGAGCUAGAGUAUGUCAGAGGGGGGUAGAAUUCCACGUGUAGCAGUGAAAUGCGUAGAUAUGUGGAGGAAUACCGAUGGCGAAGGCAGCCCCCUGGGAUAAUACUGACGCUCANACACGAAGCGUGGGGAGCAACAGGAUUANAUACCCUGGUAGUCCC
rnacentral:rRNA from 1 species